rnacentral:rRNA from 1 species
UACGUAGGGGGCAAGCGUUGUCCGGAAUUAUUGGGCGUAAAGGGCUCGUAGGCGGUCUGUCGCGUCGGGAGUGAAAACACGGGGCUUAACCCCGUGCCUGCUUCCGAUACGGGCAGACUAGAGGUAUGCAGGGGAGAACGGAAUUCCUGGUGUAGCGGUGAAAUGCGCAGAUAUCAGGAGGAACACCGGUGGCGAAGGCGGUUCUCUGGGCAUUACCUGACGCUGAGGAGCGAAAGCGUGGGGAGCAAACAGG